ensembl:snoRNA U3 Small nucleolar RNA U3
AAGAAUAUACUAUCAGGGAUCAUUUCUGUAGUUCCUUAAUAUAGAAGUUCCUCUGACUGUAUAAAGCACCAGAAACCAUGAAAGAUAGUGCAAUGUUCUCUCCUGAGCAUGAAGCUGGCCAUGGGUAUUGUGUGAAGCUUCCCUUUGCCAUUUAUGAUUGUUACUCACUCCCCUCGGGAGAGUUUGAGGGAUAGAAUGCAGUCUGGGUGGC